GGAGGAGGCUCGCGAUGGCGGCGCCCAGGGGCGCUUGAGGCCCGUCCCCCCUCCCCGCCUUCUGCGGUGCCUAAGGAGAAGAGCUGGGCGCGCUCCUGCAGAGCCCCGGGGAUGGCUCUGGCUUUUCACAGUCCCGGAGCUUCCCGGCACCCAGGCUCCGGCGGCGAGCUCAGCGGUUCCCGCGGUACGCUGGGCCCGUACCCCUAAUGAGCCCGCAGGCCUCGGGGCUGGUCAAGGACUUGCUGGGCCCUGCUGUGGUUUCCCACCUUUUUGCCUGAAAAGGAGCAAAAAAACCAACGAUAACAAAUAAUCUGAGAUGCUCAGGACUUCCACGUGCUCCUCAGCCACCUCUCCAGCCACGGCCCGAAGCAACUCAGUUGUCUCCCCAUCUUUGGCAGCAGCCAGUUCCUGACAGGGCUCCUGCAGCAGCAUCUUCAAGGGGUCAAAGGUGUAAAUCCUGGUAGAAGCGCUCGGCAUGGGAUGGCACAGAGGGACUGUCAGGAUGGGUGGCACUGGGAUGGGGUUUGAUGCUUUUAUUACCCUGAGCCUCAAACUGGGAUAGUUUGUCUCUCUGGCUUGGCACAUGGGUUGCUACUGCUCUGGCUGGUGAGGUUUAACACAAGUAGAUUUUAAGCUGAGCCCAAAUCCUCUGCUAAAAAGUACUGAUAAUUGACAGCUAGAUGAUGCCAGAGUAGAAGUGCUGCAGGCAACAAAAGGCAUGGUAACCAGCCCUGAACUGACUUAAAGAACAGCUGGAGAAAGGAAAAUGUUAGUGGUUUAACACAUGACCAGGGAAGAGGUGAUUGACACUUUAUUCCCAAACAUCUAAAGCAGAUAAAAGCGAGGAACGGAUGUCGUCUGCCAUGAUUGCCGGAGCAGGGCUUUUGCCUCUGAGCCCUGUGGGACAACAGACCUUUCAUGUUUGCAUAAUGUGAUCCAGGAGUUGACCUUUCUUUGAGAUCCUAAUAUGAGUCACAGAGCAAAUUCUCUGAUUUGGCCUGAGAUUGCCAAGUAUCGGAAGGGGAUUUCCUAAAUUAUGUGCUUGGAUCUGGAGUCAAAUAGCCCCUUGGCAAAGGCUAAGUAAAAUGGAGUGUCUCCUGGUGUGAUAUGUUCAAAACAGUGUAAUUUCUUAACUGGCCUUCCCUUUCUCCCCUCAACACCCUCCCCCCCCCCGUUCCCGUUCCUAUCAUGGAAAUUUUCUUGGCAAAUGACUUCCAUUUCCUUUUGAUUUAUUUAGGCACCAGCCCUGUGAAUUUGGCAGCUGGCCUGGUACAAGCAGGUCUGAUGCCAAACUCAGAGCUGUGUCAUCUGUCAGAGCAAUUUGUUCUCAAGGAGGGAAGGAGAAGUUGUUUUCCAGCAGAAGCGGGUUGGUUGUGGCCACAGGAGCACACUGAAGCCUGUAGCAGCAGGGAACAGGAUUUAUCCUGGUGUGAUCCUCACACCAGCAGGAAGUUUGCAUCAGGAAUAUGCAGGGACCAUGAGAUGACAAGACUCAGAAAAAGUAGUGAAGAAAACUCUCUCUGUGCACAGCAAUUGUACAAAGCAUUGGGAAGCACACAGAGAAAACCUGCUGGAAGAAAAUGGCACAGUGUCUGAGUUUUGUAAGGAGAAAUGUAGCUGAAAUAGCCAUAGGCUGGAAGUGACUGGCUGCAAAUGGAAAAAAUCUGCUACACAUGUGCAGCUGAAACGCAGAGCCUGAGCAAGCCUGACUGCUCACAGACUGGCUGAGAACUUCACUGAAGGAGAGAAGCCCAAAGAGAUCCUGCUUAUCUAAACAAGAGGGUCCCAGAGGAGCUCCCUGGGCCUCUGCAGACAACCCCUGUCCCUUCAAAUCCAGGAUGGACUUGCAGGUCCUGGAGAGUGUGCUGCAGUGCAGCCAGUUUGGUUCCUACCCACGGAGUGCUGUCUUUGGGACACCUUUUGGCACUGACUAACUGCCAAGGAAGAAGUGACACACAAGUCACCUGUUCCACAAAGUGUCCCACUCACAGUGGUCACGUGGCACCAGGCUCCUGUCCCAUGACACAUUCUGGGUACAGCAACAGCAUGGCAUGGCCACCUUUGCUGCAGAACACCUGGAUGCAGAGCUGACGUGGCUGGUCCACCCCAUCGCACAACACCCCAUGCAGAAGGAGCAGUGGCACCAGCUGUGGGUUCUGCAGUGUCCCAGGUACUGCCAGCCAUCAGCCUGUCCUGCCUGUCCCCAUGGCUUCAAAGUCAUUUGUGUCAUAAGCUGAGAGGUCUCAGGCUCACCAGACCUUCACUGUGAAGGCUUCAGUGCUUGGGGAUCAGAAAACAGCUGUUGGUGACGUCAAGAGCAAGGGGCACAGGAACUUGGUGUGAAUUAUCUUCUGCAUAACAAAGGUUCUUCUACAGCAUUUUGCAUCUAAUGGGACACCUUUAAAAGCACUAACAAACUAGAUGUUUCAAGUUCCCUUCUCUGGGGUCUGGAGCAUCUCUCUGAUGAGGAGAGGCUAUGGGAGCUGGGCCUGUUUAGUCUGGAGAAGAGAAGACUGAGAGGGGAUCUCAUUAAUGCAUAUAAAUAUCUCAAAAGUGAGUACGAAGAGGAUGGUGCCGGACUCUUUUUGGUCGUGCCCAGCAACAGGAUGAUGAGCAAUGGCCAUAAACUACAACACAAGAAGUUACACCUCAACAUGAGGAAGGACUUCUGUACAUUGAGGGUGGCA